CGGAAUAAAGACUAAUCGGGUGAGUCGCCUUGUUUGGGUCAAGGAGAUUUGCGUUCAAAUCGCAAUAUUCCGA
rnacentral:tRNA from 1 species